rnacentral:rRNA from 1 species
AUGGCUUCGGCCCGUAAACCCCUGUCAUUCGCGAGCAAAGCAUUCCCGAUAACACCGGGACGGUUGAUCGUAGCGAAAGAGGAAGGGACGGCUAACUCUGUGCCAGCAGCCGCGGUAAUACAGAGGUCCCAAGCGUUGUUCGGAUUCACUGGGCGUAAAGGGUGCGUAGGUGGUGAGGUAAGUUCGAUGUGAAAUCUCCSRRMWMAACCCGGAAAAGGCAUUGAAUACUAUCUUGCUCGAAAGUUUGGAGGGGGGAUUGGAAUUCUCGGUGUAGCAGUGAAAUGCGUAGAUAUCGAGAGGAACACCGGUGGCGAAGGCGAGUCCUGGACAACACCUGACACUGAGGCACGAAAGCUAGGGGAGCAAACAGGAUUAGAUACCCUGGUAGUCCUGGCCCUAAACGGUGCACAUUUGCUGUGGGCGGAAUCGACCCCGUCCGUGGCGAAGCUAACGCGAUAAAUGUGCCGCCUGGGAAGUACGGUCGCAAGAUUAAAACUCAAAGAAAUUGACGGGGGCCUGCACAAGCGGUGGAGUAUGUGGCUC